GGCCCUAUCGUCUAGCGGCUAGGACGCAUGGUUCUCAUCCAUGUAACACCGGUUCGAUUCCGGUUAGGGCUACCA
rnacentral:tRNA from 1 species